rnacentral:ncRNA from 1 species
CUUAUCAAGAGCGGCUGAGGGAACAGGCCCUAUGAAGCCCGGCAACCUGCAAUUUUUGCAAGGUGCUACAUCCUGCGGGUCAAACCGAAAGAUAAG